rnacentral:rRNA from 1 species
UGGGGAAUAUUGCACAAUGGGCGCAAGCCUGAUGCAGCCAUGCCGCGUGUAUGAAGAAGGCCUUCGGGUUGUAAAGUACUUUCAGCGGGGAGGAAGGUGUUGUGGUUAAUAACCUCAGCAAUUGACGUUACCCGCAGAAGAAGCACCGGCUAACUCCGUGCCAGCAGCCGCGGUAAUACGGAGGGUGCAAGCGUUAAUCGGAAUUACUGGGCGUAAAGCGCACGCAGGCGGUCUGUCAAGUCGGAUGUGAAAUCCCCGGGCUCAACCUGGGAACUGCAUCCGAAACUGGCAGGCUUGAGUCUUGUAGAGGGGGGUAGAAUUCCAGGUGUAGCGGUGAAAUGCGUAGAGAUCUGCAGGAAUACCGGUGGCGAAGGCGGCCCCCUGGACAAAGACUGACGCUCAGGUGCGAAAGCGUGGGGAGCAAACA